rnacentral:rRNA from 1 species
ACAGCAGUAGCCGCGGUAAUACGGAGGAUCCAAGCGUUAUCCGGAAUCAUUGGGUUUAAAGGGUCCGUAGGCGGUCUUGUAAGUCAGUGGUGAAAGCCCAUCGCUCAACGGUGGAACGGCCAUUGAUACUGCAGGACUUGAAUUAUUGGGAAGUAACUAGAAUAUGUAGUGUAGCGGUGAAAUGCUUAGAGAUUACAUGGAAUACCAAUUGCGAAGGCAGGUUACUACCAAUUGAUUGACGCUGAUGGACGAAAGCGUGGGUAGCGAACAGGAUUAGAUACCCCAGUAGUCCCUGUCUCUUAUAC